CCUACGGGUGUCUGCAGUGGGGAAUAUUGGACAAUGGGCGAAAGCCUGAUCCAGCCAUGCCGCGUGUGUGAAGAAGGCCUUCGGGUUGUAAAGCACUUUCAGUGGGGAAGAAAGCCUUGGGGCUAAUACCCUCGAGGAAGGACAUCACCCACAGAAGAAGCACCGGCUAACUCCGUGCCAGCAGCCGCGGUAAUACGGAGGGUGCGAGCGUUAAUCGGAAUUACUGGGCGUAAAGCGCGCGUAGGCGGUCUGAUAAGCCGGUUGUGAAAGCCCCGGGCUCAACCUGGGAACGGCAUCCGGAACUGUCAGGCUAGAGUGCAGGAGAGGAAGGUAGAAUUCCCGGUGUAGCGGUGAAAUGCGUAGAGAUCGGGAGGAAUACCAGUGGCGAAGGCGGCCUUCUGGACUGACACUGACGCUGAGGUGCGAAAGCGUGGGUAGCAAACAGGAUUAGAUACCCUUGUAGUC
rnacentral:rRNA from 1 species